rnacentral:rRNA from 1 species
GUCAAAUGAACUAAGGCUUACGGUGGAGACCUAGGCACCCAGAGACGAUGAAGGGCGCAGAUACCGGCGAAACGCUUCGAGGAGCUGGCAACAAGCUUUGAUCCGAAGAUCCCCGAAUAGGGCAACCUGUAAAACUUCCAACAGAAUUCAUAAGUUGGAAAGAGGCAACCCAGUGAAUUGAAACAUCUUAGUAGCUGGAGGAAAAUAAAGCAAACGCGAUUCCCGUAGUAGUGGCGAGCGAACCGGGAACAGCCUAAACCCAUGAAUAAUGGGUGUAGUGGGAAGACUAUAGAAAAGAAGACAUAGAAACGAAGCAGCUGAAUCCUGCACCAUAGAGAGUGAAAGUCUCGUAGUUGUAAUGUCAAAAAAAAGUCUCGAUUCCCUCCCCUGCUCGAAGAGAGGGGAGGGAAAAUAUCCCGAGUAGCAUGGGACACGUGGAAUCCCGUGUGAAUCAGCGAGGACCACCUCGUAAGGCUAAAUACUCCUGGGUGACCGAUAGCGAAAUAGUACCGUGAGGGAAAGGUGAAAAGAACCCCCGUAGGGGAGUGAAAUAGAACAUGAAACCGUAAGCUGACAAGCAGUGGGAGGUAUAGAAACUGACCGCGUGCCUGUUGAAGAAUGAGCCGGCGACUUAGAGGAAGUGGCAUUUGGUUAAAGAAUAAUAUCUGGAGCCUUUAGCGAAAGCGAGUCUGAAUAGGGCGUUUUGUCAUUUCCUCUGGACCCGAACCCAGGUGAUCUAACCAUGACCAGGAUGAAGCUUGGGUAAAACCAACUGGAGGUCCGAACCGACCGAUGUUGAAAAAUCGGCGGAUGAGUUGUGGUUACGCGGAGAAAUUCCAAUCGAACUUGGAGCUAGCUGGAUCUCCCCGAAAUGCGUUGAGGCGCAGCGGCAACGAAGAGCUAUCAUGGGGUAAAGCGACUGUUUCGAUGCGGGCUGCGAAAGCGGUACCAAGUCGUGGCAAACUCAGAAUACAUGGUAUGCCUACCGUUAGCCAGUGAGACAUUGGGUGAAAGGUUCAGUGUCAAGAGGGAAACAGCCCAGAUCAUUAGCUAAGGCCCCUAAAUGAUCACUAAGUGGAAAAGGAUGUGAGAAUGCCCAAACAACCAGGAGGUUCGCUUAGAAGCAGCAACCCUUGAAAGAGUGCGUAAUAGCUCACUGGUAAAGCGUUUUUGCGCCGACAAUGGCCGGGACUAAGUGAUCUGCCGAAGCUGUGAGAUUUUUAACAACAUUCCUUCAGGAGUAUAAACAUGACUGAAAGAAUAAAAAAAAUCGGUAGGGGAGCGUUCCGUUUUGGGUGAAGUUUUCAUGUAAAUGUGAAUGGACAAUUCGGAAGUGAGAAUGUCGGCUUGAGUAACGAAAACAUUGGUGUGAAUCCAAUGCCCCGGAAACCGUUGGGUUCCUCCACUAGGUUCGUCCAUGGGGGGUGAGUCAGGACCUAAGAUUAGGCCGAAAGGCGUCGUCGAUGGAAAACAGGUUAAUAUUCCUGUACUAUUUUUAUUGGGAAUCAAGGGACGAAGGAGACUAAACUAGAACUGCUUAUGGAUUUCAGUGGAAGCGUUUAGGUGUUGAUAGUUAGAAUAAAAACUAAACUUGAGCUAAGACGUAAUCCCUAUUUUUAUGCAAAUAAAAAUAGCUAGUGAUGUCACACUUCCUAGAAAAGCUUGUGUUUCCUGGUUAUGAAAGUAACCGCCUUACAUUGUAAGGUAACAAUAAAAAUACCUGUACCUAAAACCGACACAGGUAGGUUGGUAGAGAAUACUAAGGGGCGCGAGAGAACUCUCUCUAAGGAACUCGGCAAACUGGCCCCGUAACUUCGGAAGAAGGGGCGCCCUUUUUAUAAGGGCCGCAGUGACCAGGCUCUUGCAACUGUUUAUCAAAAACACAGGUCUCCGCAAAGUCGAAAGACAAUAUAUGGGGGCUGACGCCUGCCCAGUGCCGGAAGGUUAAGGAAGUUGGUUAUUCUUUUAGUAGAAAAAGCUGACGACCGAAGCCCCGGUGAACGGCGGUCGUAACUAUAACGAUCCUAAGAGCGAAAUUCAUUGUCGAGUAAGUUUCGACCUGCACGAAAGGCGUAAUGAUAAGAGCACUGUCUCGGAGAGAGGCUCGGUGAAAUAGACUUGUCCGUGAAGAUGCGGACUACCUACACCUGGACAGAAAGACCCUAUGAAGCUUGACUGUAUCCUGGAAUUGGGUUCGGGCUUUUCUUGCGCAGCCUAGGUGGGAGGCUUUGAAGGUUCCCUUCCGGGGGAAUCUGAGCCGUCAUUGAGAGACCACUCUGGAAGAGCUAGAAUCCUAAUGGUGAUCUUUGAAUCAAGACACUUGACAGUUUCAGGUGGGCAGUUUAUCUGGGGCGGAUACCUCCCAAAAGGUAACGGAGGUGUGCAAAGGUUCCCUCAGUCUGGACGGAAAUCAGACAUUGAGUGUAAAGGCAAAAGGGAGCUUGACUGCAAGACCCACAAGUCGAGCAGGGGCGAAAGCCGGCCUUAGUGAUCCGACGGUUCCGUGUGGAAGGGCCGUCGCUCAACGGAUAAAAGUUACUCUAGGGAUAACAGGCUUAUCUUCCCCAAGAGUUCACAUCGACGGGAAGGUUUGGCACCUCGAUGUCGGCUCAUCACAUCCUGGGGCGGUAGUACGUCCCAAGGGUUGGGCUGUUCGCCCAUUAAAGUGGUACGUGAGCUGGGUUCAAAACGUUGACUUGUGAAACAGUUUGGUCCAUAUCCGGUGUAGGCGUUGGAAUAUUGAGAGGAACCAAAGAUAGUACGAGAGGAUUUUUUUGGACAAACCAAUGGUGUAUCGGUUCUCACUCCAGUGGGAAACGCCGAGUAGCUAUGUUUGGAUUAGAUAACUGCUGAAAGCAUAUAAGUAGGAAGCUAACCUCAAGAUGAUUAUUCCCCAUUAGGCCGCGGGAAGACAACCCGAUUGAUAGGUGUUAGGUGUAAGGUUAGCAAUAGCUUCAGCCAAGACAUACUAAAGGCCAAUUGAUUUUGAU